GUGGGGAAUAUUGGACAAUGGGCGCAAGCCUGAUCCAGCCAUGCCGCGUGAGUGAUGAAGGCCCUAGGGUUGUAAAGCUCUUUCAGUGGGGACGAUAAUGACGGUACCCACAGAAGAAGCCCCGGCUAACUUCGUGCCAGCAGCCGCGGUAAUACGAAGGGGGCUAGCGUUGUUCGGAUUUACUGGGCGUAAAGCGCACGUAGGCGGAUCGUUAAGUCGAGGGUGAAAGCCUGGAGCGCAACUCCAGAACUGCCUUCGAUACUGGCGAUCUUGAGUCCGGAAGAGGUGAGUGGAACUCCUAGUGUAGAGGUGGAAUUCGUAGAUAUUAGGAAGAACACCAGUGGCGAAGGCGGCUCACUGGUCCGGUACUGACGCUGAGGUGCGAAAGCGUGGGGAGCAAACAGGAUUAGAUACCCCGGUAGUCC
rnacentral:rRNA from 1 species